rnacentral:lncRNA from 10 species
CUGACCUCAAAUGAUCCACCUGCCUUGGCCUCCCAAAGUGCUGGGAUUACAGGCGUGAGCCACUGCACCUGGGCAGAUUUGUCAUCUUUUCUACCUGAAUGCUUACCUUCAGUCUUGAAGGAAGUGUGUGCAAAUGUCCUCCAAGUGAAUAGAAAUAAACUAACCUAUUUCAUAACACAGUCCUACUUGAUUCCUUUACAAAUAGUGAUUCAGAGCUUCGGCUCCAGAGUCAAGCUGAUCUGGAUUUGAAUUCCAUCUUUUGCAGUAAUAAAAUUUGACUUAACUUUUUAAGCUUCUUUUCCCUUGUUUGUGAAGUAGAGAUGAUGAUAAAACAUUGUUCAUAGUUGAAGAAGGUAAAUGAGAUGAUACAUUUAAAGUGCUUAGCAUGAUACUUAACAUGCUAACCUGUUAAGUUUUCAAUAAAUUUUUACUAUUAUUAAACUAUAAUAGCCAUUCUUUAAAGAAAAAGGGGGCUGGGUGUGGUGGCUCAUGCCUGUAAUACCGACUUUUUGGGAGGGAGGAAAGGAAAAGAAAAUCAGUGAAUACACUAGGUGUCAGCGUUGUGCUUCAAAUCGUGAAGUGCACAAAAUGCCUACUCUGAUUUUAUUUAGAAGGUGUCCAAGUUGAACUGGCUUAGAAUAGAAAGAUACUUAAGCAGAUCUGGGAAAGUCAGAAUUCUAAAACUGCAAAAGGAUAUAACAAUGUGCUGGCUUAGGACAGCAUACACUGAUGAUCUUUUAAAGCUCGCAAUCUAUUAAAAAUAAGAGCUGCCUACCCCACUGGUCUACAGCCAUCUCCAUAGACUCAGCAUGGAAAUUAAGACUAAUCUCACCUUUGUCUAGGAUGCCAGCAUUUUUCUCAUAUCUAUAAUCUAAGUCUUGGAGUCAUUUUCUAGGAAGAAUUGUGUUUGAAUCCUGUCUUUACUACUUAUUAGCUGUGUAGAUGAUGAUAAUAUUUGUUUUACCUACUCCAUACGGUCAUCAGAAUGACUUCUGAAAAAUGUGUAUUUUGAAAAGCGGCUUACUAAAAUGUAAAAUAUUAUUAUUCUGUACAGUUGGCAAACAACACAGGUAGAGAGAGGAAGAUUUUUCCCAGAAUUCUUGAGUUGCUCUGAAGCCUCAAUUUUUUGAAAAGAUAAUUUGCUCUUAAAUGAAACUUAGAAUGAACUGAUUGAGCUUGUUUAAAUACUGGUUAUGACCCAAUCCCAAAAUGGGAUUAAUCCACAGUGUAGUAACACAAUCCUAUGUAUUUCUUUUUUCUUUCUUUUUUUUUUUUUUUUUUUUUUUUUGAGACAGAGUCUCUAUAGCCUAGGAUGGAGUGUAGUGGUGCGAUCUUGGCUCACUGUAACCUCUGCCUCCCAGAUUCAAGGAAUUCUCGUGUCACAGCCUCCCAAGUAGCUAGGAUUACAGUUGUAUGCCACCAUGCCCAGCUAAUUUUUCUAUUUUUUUUUUUAGUAGAGACAGGGUUUCAUCAUGUUGGCCAGGCUAGUCUUGAACUCCUGGCCUCAAGUGAUCCACCCGCCUUGACCUCCCAAAGUGCUGAGAUUACAGGCGUGAACCACUGUGCCCAGCCAAUCCUAUGUAUUUCAUAGUAUACAGUGAUAAUCUUAGAGUGAAUAUGAAAAAAAGCCUCUAAACUUCCUUAACACAGACUAUCAAUCAUUUAAUAGCUGAAUAUUUGGUGUGAGUGGGAUAAUACUUGAUAUAGCAUUCUUUGGGUAUAGACCUUAAGUUUUUCAUAGGUUUUCUCAUGAUUUUGCAUGUGAACUAAACUGUUAUAUCUCUAUCACAUUCAUUGAGAAUCCAUUAUGUACUAGACAUUUGAAAAGGAGAGUAAAAACUGGUUUAGAAUAACUAGUCUGGAAUAAUUUCAACAGGUUCUUUGAGGGUUUAAUUACAAAGGUUUGAUUGCAGGCCGACUCAAGAAAUUGAAAGGGGAGUUUUAACAAUUUUAAAGUUUUACUUCAGUGACAUAAGCAAUAGUAAAGUUGACAAUCCUUAAUCCAAAAAUUGAAAUGCUCCAAAAUCUGAAAAGUGUUUGAGCAAAGACGUGACACCACAAGUAGGAAAUUCCACACCAGACCUCAUGUGACAGGUCACAGUCAAAAAGCAGUCUAAACUUUGUUUCAUGCACAAAAUUAUUAAGAAUAUUAUAUAAAAUUACCUUCAGGUUAUAUGUAUUAGGUAUAUAUAAAACAUGAAUGAAUUUUAUGUUUAGUCUUGGAUCCCAUCCCCAGGAUAUCUCAUUAUGUCUAUGCAAAUAUUCCAUAAUCUGAAAGAAAUUCAAAAUUUGAAACAUGUCUGGUCCCAAACAUUUCAGAUAAAGGAUAUUCAACCUUUAGACGCAGCUCUAUAAAUGCCUACUGAGAGUAUCAGAAAGAUAGUGUUAACUUGCAUGGUCUAUUUUUGGGUUGCACUUAUGAAAAUCUCUUGGGCAAGGACAAAACCAGACCUUUAUAGGCAACUAAGACUUACCUUCAUACAUGUAGAGAUAGAUAUACAUACAUGUGUAUAAUAAUAACUAUUAUAAUAUAAUUGUAUAAUAUAACUACUAUAAUAACUAUAAUAACUAUUAUUGCUAAUGUUAGUGGCAGUAGUAGAUAUAAAUGAUGAUGUAGACACCAUAACAUAAAAAGAUGUCUAUACCAGUAGAAUCUAUUCAGUGAGUUUAUAGUGUAAUCAUGGGCUAAAUCAGACUGAUAUAAAUUCUAUCAUGUAGAUUAUAAAAUUUACAUAAUAAAGUUUGCAAUCUACCCAUCUGACAAAGGGCUAAUAUCCGGUAUCUACAAGGAGCUUAAACAAAUUUACAAGAAGAAAACAACUCCAUCAAAAAGUGGGUGAAGGAUAUGAACAGACACUUUUCAAAAGAAGACAUUUAUGUUGCCCACAAACAUGAAAAAAAGCUCAUCAUCACUGGUCAUUAGAGAAAUGCAAAUGAAAACCACAAUGAGAUACCAUCUCAUGCCAGUUAGAACGGCGAUCAUUAAAAACUCAGGAAACUAACAGAUGCUGGAGAGGAUGUGGAGAAAUAGGAACGCUUUUACACUGUUGGUGGGAGUGUAAAUUAGUUCAACCAUUGUGGAAGACAGUGUGGAGAUUCCUCAAGGAUCUAGAACUAGAAAUAGCAUUUGACCCAGCAAUCCCAUUACUGGGUAUAUAUCCGAAGGACUAUAUAUCAUGCUACUAUAAAGACACAUGCCCAUAUAUGUUUAUUGGAGCACUAUCCACAAUAGCAAAGACUUGGAACCAACCCAAAUGCCCAUCAAUGAUAGACUGGAUAAAGAAAAUGUGGCACUUAUACACCAUGGAAUACUACACCGCCAUAAAGAAGAAUGAGUUCAUGUCCUUUGCAGGGACAUGGAUGAAGGUGGAAACCAUCAUUCUCAGCAAACUAAAACAAGAACAGAAAACCAAACACCACAUGUUCUUACUCACAAGUGGGACUUGAACAAUGAGAACACAUGGACACAGGGAGGGAAACAUCACACACGGGGGUCUGUCAGGGCAUGGGGGACAAGGGGAGGGAUAGCAUUAGGAGAAAUACCUAAUGUAGAUGAUGGGUUGAUGGGUGCCACAAACCACCAUGGCACAUGUAUACCUAUGUAACAAACCUGCACGUUUUGCACAUGUAUCUUAGAACUUAAAGUAUAAUAAAAAAAAAAACUUCAAAAAUAACUUCAAAUGAAUAAUAAAUGUGAUAGCUGCACUAUUAUGGUGAACUUGAGGUUUAGAGAAUGGUUUUUCCAUGUCUGAGUUGCAGAGAUAUUACUAAUACUAUACAAGAAUAAUUUCUCCAUCUUUUCUCUGAAGUGAUAGACAACUGUCUUCCUAUGAGACAGAAACUUGGAGCUUUCUUCCUUUUAGUUAAUAACCAAUUUAUAGCUGUCUUUAAACUUUGCAUCCUUCUUUUCUAAAAAGAAAAUCUAAAAAGGAAAUCUAUCCUGGUUAGUAUAGCAGUGUUUUUCAAGUGUUUUAAAAAUAUGGGUUAUAUAUAAAAUUAGUGGUUUGCAGUAAAUUUUGAAAAGUGCAAUAAAAUAGAAAAUAGAGUGCACCACA